GUGGAGCUGUCAGAGCUCUGUGGGGCACGGUCACGCACACAGCAGCUGGUCUGUUUUCGGGGAUUUAUUAAUUUUUUUUCUCUCUUUUUCGUUCCAUUUCAUUCCGUUUCGUACGUUCGCUUCACGUUUUUCGAUAGUCCGACGACAAUCCAAUUCGUUGUCGACGUCGUCGGAACCGUUCACGUUCUACGCAACGUUCUUUCUGUGCUCUCUUUGGUCUGAUCGUGUUCGUGGAUUCUUCGGCUCGCGGAGUGUAGGCCGAAACGCAUACGUCUUGGCUCGCGGUACGCAUCCGGAGUCAACGAGCCUCUGGCGUUGUUUUCAUCGCCUCUUAUCGAGCGCAGAGUUCAUUAAUAUAGGCGAGAGAUCGUGCUGCCGAAUAAACAGCACCCAGGACGCAGACACGCGGCAAGAGUCAACUUGAACCCCGUGGAGAACGUUUCAUCGAGAUUGCUGGGAGGAAAGAUAUGGCUCGUCAGUUGGACCCUACCGGCCAAUACUGAAGAAAACAACUCAUCUGCUUUGCAGAGAAACUUAUAAGAAAUCGAAGAAUUCCAUUCUUUCUUUGUUUUUUCCAUUUUUUCUCCGAUACUCGUGACAGAUAAAUAUCACCACGUUGACAUCAUGGCAGCUGGAUUGGACCCCACAGGACUCUACUGAACACAGAGAAACCAGAAGAGCUGGAAACAACCUCUCCCCACUACACGCAGAGCAACCACAGAGAUAGUCGAUCGAAAUACUCGCGUCCCGUGGCCAGUUUCCGUGUCGAGUUGAUUAUUUAUAUAUACAAGUUGAAUUUCAAGACGCAUGCUGCAACAUGGCUGGACUUGAUCCGACCGGUCAGUACUGAAGGGAAGUGGAGGUAGGUCGAGGAGGAGGAUUCCGGAAGAAACAAGGAAGUAAUCGAGAGUCGAGAUACCUCAAGGUCGCGACAUGGCUGCCAGCACGGGCCUUGAUCCCACCGGCCAGUAUUGAAGUUCUCUCGAGCUUCCUAAUUAUCUAAGGAGGGGACCGGCAGACGGCGACGAAGCCGACGUGAAACGUUCGUGAAUCGACGAUGGAACACGUGAGAAGAAGAGAGGAAACCUCGACCUCUUAUUUGAGGAGACCCGAGUGGAGCAUCCACAUACGGAAGGGAAGACAUCGCCCGCCGUUCUCGUUGGAUGAGACUCAUCAAUGAAGCGUUCAGAGACUGUCAUUGCCUGCAUCUAAGAGAGAGACCAGCAACAACGUCACUGCCGUCCGAGGAAUCCGGAUCGUUGCGCGAUCGAACCGAGCUCGCGACCGCGAUCCAUGCCCCUCGAUAGAAGCAAGGAACACAAGAAUGGAAGCUUCGCACUGCCAUGGACAUCAGUCACCUAGUCGCUGCUGCUCUUCGUUCGUCGUUUGUCGAGCAAGCAAGUGAGCGCGAGGACUGGAUACGUUUAAACCGUCGAAUCUCGCCGUUGCACCCGGCGGUCUGCAGGGUUGUCCGUUUCGACGCGCGAUCGUUUAACUUUCAGCCGCCCUUUCAUUUAUAGCGCAGGCGACCUUGAAAAUGUUACUAUUUUUUUAUUACUAUUAUUAUAAUUAUUUAAAUCGUAAUAUUAAGGGGCACUAAGGCACCGUUAUAAAUAAUAUAAAUAUAUAUAAUAUAAAUAUGUACAUGUAUAAAAACGUAGGUGCGGACGAAGGAUCCUAAAACACAAUGACUGCGAACUUCCGCAUCCCGUAUCUCUGCUACCGCUGGAAAAUUGUUGUCAUUACUCUCCGAUAGUUACUUGGUUACUGUAAAGACACACUACAUACCCACAUAUACAGAUACACCAACAGACGCGUUCAAGUACACGCGACGUACUUACUCACACACACACACACACACAGAAGCAUACACUGGCCGUACAAACACCAGGACGUUGAAUUUACUAAACGUUCGUCGGCUUGUUCGGCGGGUAACGUGUAUCCAGUCUGAUUGCAUUUAAAAGCAGAGUAGAACGUGGCCAAGCACGUUUUAGUAAAUUCAAUGAAAAAUGUUGUUCUUUCCGUAUGUUACUGCUACCACCGCUAUUACUACCCGCCACUAUAUCGUCGCCUGUUACACCGCAAUUACGCGCUACCAGUAUACUACUUAUUCGCCGAUAUAGCCGUUACGAGACGUAAACACGGCCAUGUUGUCCCUCUAUUAUAGCGAGCGAUUCCAAUACUAUUGAGUUUUGCGUUUUCGAGAUCGCUGGUGACCUGGUUGAUCGGUCAUGAAAUUCUACGGUACUAACGGACAAAGAAAAAUGGCAACAACCUGUUCUCUCUUCGACCCUUAUAUUACGAAAUUAUUCUUAUCCUAUUCUCUCUAGAAUAUAUUUAUUAUGAACCAAACAACAACCGACUGUGUCUUCUCUUAUCCUGUUUUGCCUCCUACCUAUGAGAAAAUCUCUGGCAUCUAACGAGUUUAAGAAACUAUCAUCGGGGAAUAGCGAUUGUUAUCGGAUAUCUUGACGACCAAAGUUUUCGAGCACAAUGGUACACGGUCACCAGUGAGUCGAACGUACCGAAAACGAACGAGGCUCGACGAACAAAGUAAAGAAUCGAGAACAAAAAGGGAAAGAACAAAAAAAGGAUUCUUCGAUUGCCUAUUUUUCGUUGAAGUUGCGCACACGAGUGUUCGUUGACCUGUUCCUCUACUCGCGAUCGCGCUACGUGUUCGUACGAGCUGCACGCGAGAGAGAAUGCGCCUCAAAGCACGACGGCCGGCCAACAGGAGCGCGGUUUUCUCUCUUACCGCCUCUCUCCUUCUCCCUUUUCCCUCUGACACUGUCUCUUUCUUUCCACCUUUCUCUCUGUCUGUGGUCGUCAGGAAGCAGUUACUGUGCGGCCGCGUGCAUUGUUACACAUAACUUCUUUCCAUCCUCGGCGUUGUAACGCGCGCGAUCCGCGCGUUUUCAGCCACGAACACGCCGCGCGCUUUGCAUUCCACGCGCACACGUCACGGUUUUUCGCGGGUCCGUCCCACGAUCCCGAUCGUUGACGUUUCCACCGAGUGGCGACUAUUGUCAUUGUUCCGAACUUCGUCUCGACUACGACGUUUAGUUACCGUGAUCAUCCGUGAAGAUGAUUCUCUUGCGGCGGAACGGAAUUAUACAAAGAAUCGGAAGAAAUUUUGGUGUCGAAUUCGACCUGCUAUAUACGAUUAAUGAAUUUAUGGCACGGAUGGUAGAAACUCUGUAUGGGUUACAGAAUAUAAAAUUAUAAACUUUUGAUAUCGAAUCGAAUCUACAAUUUAUGAUUAUGAAUUUUAUGGCACGGAUAAUAAAAAUUUUGUGAGCUUUGCAAAAUAUAAAAUUAAACGAUUUUGACGUCAAAUUUGAUCCGUAA
rnacentral:lncRNA from 1 species